CAGGCGAUGAAGGACGUGUUAGCCUGCGAUAAGCUCCGGGGAGCUGGCAAAUAAGCUUUGAUCCGGAGAUCUCCGAAUGGGGAAACCCACCGAAAGGUACCGUACGCUGAAUAAAUAGGCGUACGGAGCUAACCAGGCGAACUGAAACAUCUCAGUAGCUUGAGGAACAGACAUCAACCGAGAUUCCGAAAGUAGUGGCGAGCGAAAUCGGAAAAGCCUGCGCGUUUUAAUAUUCCUCCUAUCGGAAUCAUAUGGAAAGAUGAACCAUAGCGGGUGAUAGUCCCGUACGGAAAAGGCGGAGUAUAGAACUAGGCGCGCGAAAAGUAGGGCGGGACACGUGAAAUCCUGUCUGAAGAAGGGGGGACCAUCCUCCAAGGCUAAAUACUCGUAAUCGACCGAUAGUGAACUAGUACCGUGAGGGAAAGGCGAAAAGAACCCCGGA
rnacentral:rRNA from 1 species